CGGGAGCGCGGGCGCCAGGACAGCGCGGGUCCCGCCCGCAGCGCCGGCCCCGCCGCCCGGCUGGCCGCGGAGGCCCGAGAGCCGAGCGGGUCCCGAGCGCAACUCGUGCGCGCCGGGCGCCGGGCGGGCCGGGGCCGGGGGGACGCGCGCCCUCCCGGCGGCGGCUCCGGCUCCGGGCGCGGGGUCCCUGCCGCCGCUGCGGGGCCCGGGCCGCGGCCGGAAAAAAGUUGGGGCUCUCGGCGAGCCCGCGUGGGCCGGGCGGGAAGUGCGGGUGCGGCGGACUGGGGUGUCGGGAGGACGCGGAAUAACUCAAGUCACCUCCGCUGGAAAUCGGCUUGCUGAAACUAUUGAAACAGCGAUUCUUGGAAGUUGAAGAAAAGCAGGUCCUGUGCCUUGGCCGUGGAGUGUGGCCCUUGCUUCCGAGCCCUCUCUGGACCCGCCCUCCUCGCACCCCUGGGAAAGAUGCGGCAGCUCAAGGGGAAGCCCAAGAAGGAGACGUCCAAGGACAAGAAGGAGCGGAAGCAGGCCAUGCAGGAGGCCCGGCAGCAGAUCACCACGGUGGUGCUGCCCACGCUGGCCGUGGUGGUGCUGCUGAUCGUGGUGUUCGUGUACGUGGCCACGCGCCCCACCGUCACCGAGUGAGCCCUGCGGCGGCGGGGACACUGCCUGCGUCCUCAGAGAUCUUCCCGAAGCUGAGCUCCGAGCAGGGGCACCUACCCGUCUUCUCUGCUCUUUGACUUGAUUCAAGUUUUUUCCACUUUCCUUGGGAGGGAAUAAGGGAGCGUUUUAUCCAGUGAAUGUGCCAUACACCUUAUGGUCCACUUCAUGUGCCUUUCAGACUUCGAAGCGGGGGUGUGUGUGUGUGUGUGUUUUCUCUCCUAAACCCAUGUGCAGGCCCCCCCCCCCCCCCCACCCGGCGAGAGGAGGGGCGUCGGGAUCACGAAUGCGUCGGAAUCAGUGCUCACCCCCCCUCCCCCCCAUUGUGUCAAACAUGACUCUUUUCCCACCCGUGUCCACGAUUUCCAAAGGGACUGUAUUUCUUCUCUGUGCUUAAUGUGAUUUUAAAGAUGUCGAAUCAAAAGUGAAAUAUUUAUUUUUCGAAUAAAGGAGAUGAUAGCCUUUAA